AGGACGAACGCUGGCGGCGUGCUUAACACAUGCAAGUCGAGCGAGGCCCUCUCUUCGGAGAGGUGCCCUAGCGGCGAACGGGUGAGUAACACGUGGGCAACCUGCCCCUAGCACUGGGAUAAGCCCGGGAAACCGGGUCUAAUACCGGAUAUGACCUUCAAGGGCAUCCUCGAAGGUGGAAAGGAUUCCGGCUAAGGAUGGGCUCGCGGCCUAUCAGCUAGUUGGUGGAGUAACGGCCCACCAAGGCGACGACGGGUA
rnacentral:rRNA from 1 species